UACGUAGGGUGCAAGCGUUAAUCGGAAUUACUGGGCGUAAAGCGUGCGCAGGCGGUUUUGUAAGUCAGAUGUGAAAUCCCCGGGCUUAACCUGGGAACUGCGUUUGAAACUACAAGGCUAGAGUGUGGCAGAGGGGGGGUGGAAUUCCACGUGUAGCAGUGAAAUGCGUAGAGAUGUGGAGGAACACCGAUGGCGAAGGCAGCCCCCUGGGUCAAGAUUGACGCUCAUGCACGAAAGCGUGGGGAGCAAACAGG
rnacentral:rRNA from 1 species